GGGCGAUGAUGACUCCGUGUGCCAACUGUGACGGAUGAUUCUGUCACCAGCGUCAGAUCUUCUGACGAAUAUAGGCGCAUCUGAGCUC